rnacentral:misc_RNA from 1 species
GUAAAUAUGAGUUUUUUCUCAACCUGCAUUGUUUUGAAAUCAACAUGCCGAAAUAUAGGCUAGGCGUUUGGGCAAUAUGGCGGUUCAAUUUCAUGAUUCCAAAUGGGGCAGGUUUAAAAACAUUGCUUCAGGCUAUAACGAGACAUUGGCUUUUGACAAUAAGCCUAUCAAUAAUGGAAUUACAUAUUUGUCAUUUUAUUGAAAGAAUCAUUUCGUUUUUUUUGUGAUGUCACUUGCAUGUGAUGUGUCUGAAGUCACAUACUGUUCCAUUCUAUUCUGUUAUCAUUUUAAACCGCAGGUUACGUUAUAUAUCAAUAAUGUUGCUAUUCUAUAAGUUAUGUCAUUAACUAAAUUUUAUCAAACUAAAUUAAACAAGGUACAGGUUUUCUACUAUAGUUAUAUAACUAUAUUGCUAUAAUAUUUUAUUUACACAAUGAUCGAUACAUACAUACAUGACUGUGUUUCCAUAAAUGUGCAACAGAUUAUCAUGAAAUUACAUAAUUUCUUAAUACUUAUUUACUUGCAUAAUUAAUAUUUGAUCUAAUUUCUUAUCGGUCUGUAUGUAAGGAGAAAUAAGUCUACAAAUACAUUGCUACGUAUAUAAAAAUAUAUAGCUGAACUGGGUUUCGAACCGUAGACCUCUGUGGCUCUAGUCAGGAGCUCUAACACUGAGUUGGUCCAAAAAAUUCAGGUGAUGGCGAGACCUGAGUAAAUGUUAGCCAUUUUGCAGCUCAUUUAUGGCCAACAGCUGAUUUUACAAGUAUAUUUCCAUUUACGUCU